rnacentral:rRNA from 1 species
CCUACGGGAGGCAGCAGUAGGGAAUCUUCCACAAUGGGCGAAAGCCUGAUGGAGCAACCCCGCGUGGGUGAAGAAGGUCUUCGGAUCGUAAAACCCUGUUGUUAGAGAAGAAAGUGCGUGAGAGUAACUGUUCACGUUUCGACGGUAUCUAACCAGAAAGCCACGGCUAACUACGUGCCCGCAGCCGCGGUAAUACGUAGGUGGCAAGCGUUAUCCGGAUUUAUUGGGCGUAAAGGGAACGCAGGCGGUCUUUUAAGUCUGAUGUGAAAGCCUUCGGCUUAACCGGAGUAGUGCAUUGGAAACUGGGUGACUUGAGUGCAGAAGAGGAGAGUGGAACUCCAUGUGUAGCGGUGAAAUGCGUAGAUAUAUGGAAGAACACCAGUGGCGAAAGCGGCUCUCUGGUCUGUAACUGACGCUGAGGUUCGAAAGCGUGGGUAGCAAACAGGAUUAGAUACCCCAGUAGUC